rnacentral:rRNA from 1 species
AUUGAACGCUGGCGGCAUGCCUAACACAUGCAAGUCGAACGGUAGCAGGUCCUUCGGGAUGCUGACGAGUGGCGGACGGGUGCGUAACGCGUGGGAAUCUGCCCAAUAGUGGGGGAUAACCCGGGGAAACUCGGGCUAAUACCGCAUAUUCCCUAUGGGGGAAAGCGGGGGACCGCAAGGCCUCGCGCUAUUGGAUGAGCCCGCGUCCGAUUAGCUUGUUGGUGGGGUAAAGGCCUACCAAGGCGACGAUCGGUAGCUGGUCUGAGAGGACGACCAGCCACACUGGGACUGAGACACGGCCCAGACUCCUACGGGAGGCAGCAGUGGGGAAUAUUGGACAAUGGGGGAAACCCUGAUCCAGCAAUGCCGCGUGUGUGAAGAAGGCCUGCGGGUUGUAAAGCACUUUCGGCGGGAAAGAAAAGUCGUGCGCCAAUACCGCGCGACCUUGACGUUACCCGCAAAAGAAGCACCGGCUAACUCCGUG